rnacentral:rRNA from 1 species
UACGUAGGGGGCUAGCGUUGUCCGGAUUUAUUGGGCGUAAAGAGCGUGUAGGCGGCCAGGUAGGUCUGGUGUGAAAACUCGAGGCUUAACCUCGAGAUGUCAUGGGAAACCAUCUGGCUAGAGUCCGGAAGAGGAGAGUGGAAUUCCUGGUGUAGCGGUGAAAUGCGCAGAUAUCAGGAAGAACACCAAUGGCGAAAGCAGCUCUCUGGGACGGUACUGACGCUGAGACGCGAAAGCGUGGGGAGCGAACAGG